GGAAGGUGAAUUAUCUGGACCUCGUUAUCAGAACCAAUUACAAGGGGAAGCAAAUCCUAGUUCUGUUAGGAAAAAUCUCAGGUUGAACGAAACUCAAACAUCUCCAAUCAUGUCCAGGGGUCAGAGUUCGGUUUCUGCAAAAUCUUCCCAUGCAUCAAAACUCAAAGAGCCAAAGACAGAACCAGGUGGAGAAUUGUCCUCUAAACAGAAGAUGUCGGGAUCCCUUGCUUUAAUCAAGCCUAAGGAUGAACCAUAUACUGAUGAUAUGCCACUGUUUGAGGUUCCGAUUGCUGUUAUUCACCCAGAGCCGUCAAAUAAGGGAGAUACUUCAAGUGGUAACACCUCAAGGUCUGAACCUUCAGCGAUAGACCUAAGAAGUGUAAGGGAUUCAGGCAUUAUGACUUCAUUGAAUGUAAUGACAACCAGUCGUGAGCUGAUAGAAGUCCAGGAUAGAUGUCACGU
rnacentral:misc_RNA from 1 species